UACAGAGGUCUCAAGCGUUGUUCGGAUUCAUUGGGCGUAAAGGGUGUGUAGGUGGCGCCGUUAGUCGGGUGUGAAAUUUCGGAGCUUAACUCCGAAACUGCAUUCGAUACUGCCGUGCUUGAGGACUGGAGAGGAGACUGGAAUUUACGGUGUAGCGGUGAAAAUGCGUAGAUAUCGUAAGGAAGACCAGUGGCGAAGGCGGGGUCUCUGGACAGUUCCUGACGCUGAGGCACGAAGGCCAGGGGGAGCAAAACGGGG
rnacentral:rRNA from 1 species